rnacentral:rRNA from 1 species
UUCCGGUUGAUCCUGCCGGACCUGACUGCUAUCGGAUUGAUACUAAGCCAUGUGAGUCAUUGUAGCAAUACAAGGCAGACGGCUCAGUAACACGUAGCCAAUCUAACCUAUGGACGGGGAUAACCUCGGGAAACUGAGGAUAAACCCCGAUAGAUCAUUAUACUCUGGAACGGUUUAUGGUCCAAAUGAUUCGUCGCCGUAGGAUGAGACUGCGGCCUAUCAGCUUGUUGGUGAGGUAAUGGCCCACCAAGGCUAUUACAGGUACGGGCUCUGAGAGGAGAAGCCCGGAGAUGGGUACUGAGACACGGACCCAGGCCCUAUGGGGCGCAGCAGGCGAGAAACCUUUGCAAUGUGCGCAAGCACGACAAGGUUAAUCCGAGUGAUUCCUGCUAAAGGAAUCUUUUGUUAGUCUUAAAAUCACUAUUGAAUAAGGGGUGGGCAAGUUCUGGUGUCAGCCGCCGCGGUAAAACCAGCACCUCAAGUGGUCAGGAGGAUUAUUGGGCCUAAAGCAUCCGUAGCCUGCUCUGUAAGUUUCCGGUUAAAUCCAUUAGCUCAACUAAUGGCCUGCCGAAAAUACUGCAGAGCUAGGAAGUGGGARAGGUAGACGGUACUCGGUAGGAAGGGGUAAAAUCCUUUGAUCUAUUGAUGACCACCUGUGGCGAAGGCGGUCUACCAGAACACGUUCGACGGUGAGGGAUGAAAGCUGGGGGAGCAAACCGGAUUAGAUACCCGGGUAGUCCCAGCUGUAAACGAUGCAGACUCGGUGAUGCGCUGGCUUGUGGCCAGUGCAGUGCCGCAGGGAAGCCGUUAAGUUUGCCGCCUGGGAAGUACGUACGCAAGUAUGAAACUUAAAGGAAUUGGCGGGGGAGCACCACAAGGGGUGAAGCCUGCGGUUCAAUUGGACUCAACGCCGGA